rnacentral:rRNA from 1 species
UGGGGAAUUUUGGACAAUGGGCGCAAGCCUGAUCCAGCCAUGCCGCGUGUGGGAAGAAGGCCUUCGGGUUGUAAACCACUUUUGUCAGGGAAGAAACGGCUCUUACUAAUAUUAGGAGCUAAUGACGGUACCUGAAGAAUAAGCACCGGCUAACUACGUGCCAGCAGCCGCGGUACUACGUAGGGUGCAAGCGUUAAUCGGAAUUACUGGGCGUAAAGCGUGCGCAGGCGGUGAUGUAAGACAGGUGUGAAAUCCCCGGGCUUAACCUGGGAACUGCAUUUGUGACUGCAUCGCUGGAGUGCGGCAGAGGGGGAUGGAAUUCCGCGUGUAGCAGUGAAAUGCGUAGAUAUGCGGAGGAACACCGAUGGCGAAGGCAAUCCCCUGGGCCUGCACUGACGCUCAUGCACGAAAGCGUGGGGGGCAAA